UACGAAGGGGGCUAGCGUUGUUCGGAAUUACUGGGCGUAAAGGGCGCGUAGGCGGUGUGUCAAGUCAGGCGUGAAAGCCCCGGGCUCAACCUGGGAACAGCGCUUGAGACUGGCACGCUCGAGUUCGGGAGAGGAUGGUGGAAUUCCCAGUGUAGAGGUGAAAUUCGUAGAUAUUGGGAAGAACACCGAUGGCGAAGGCAGCCAUCUGGACCGACACUGACGCUGAGGCGCGAAAGCGAGGGGAGCAAACGGG
rnacentral:rRNA from 1 species